GAAGUUAAGCUUCUUAGCGCCGAAGGUAGUGAGGGGUUUCCCCUUGUGAGACUAGGACGUUGCCACGC
rnacentral:rRNA from 1 species